GAUGAACGCUGGCGGCGUGCUUAACACAUGCAAGUCGAACGGGAGCACAGGGGUGCUUGCACUUUUUGGUGAGCGUGGCGAGCGGGUGAGUCACACGUAAGUAACCUGUCCUUUUCUUUGGGAUCAGCGUUAGAAAGGGUGUUUAAUACCUUAUGUUCUGUCUGCCUCGCAUGGGGUAGGUGGGAAAGGCUUUGGCCGGAUUUGGGUGGGCUCGCGGUCUAUCAGCUUGUUGGUGGGGUGAUGGCUUACCAAGGCGUUGCCGCGUAGCCGGCCUGAGAGGGUGCUCGGUCAGAUUCGGGCUCCGGUCCGGCCCAGACGGCUGCGGGAGGCAGCAGUGGGCGAUAUUGGAAAAUGUGCCAAAGCCUGACGCCGCGACGCCGCGGGGGGUAUGAAGCCUAUCGGGCUGUUAUCUUGUAUGGCUCUGAACGAGGCAUGCCAGUGGGUGUGUUGCGUUUACUGGUCGGUUAGCGCCGGCUAACUACGUG
rnacentral:rRNA from 1 species